rnacentral:rRNA from 1 species
UGAGCAAUCUGCCCUUCUCAUCGGAAUAAGCGUUGGAAACGACGUCUAAUGCCGAAUACGACCUCCUUUCGCAUGAUCGGAGGUGGAAAGCUCCGGCGGAGAAGGAUGAGCUCGCGGCCUAUCAGCUAGUUGGUGUGGGUAACGGCCCACCAAGGCGACGACGGGUAGCCGGCCUGAGAGGGUGACCGGCCACACUGGGACUGAGACACGGCCCAGACCUCCCGUACGGGAGGNAGCG